UAUAGUUUACACGACAGUUAACAUUUAUAUGGAUAACUGUGGUAAUUCUAGAGCUAAUACAUGCGUAAAAGGCCAACUUCACGGACGGCCUGUAUUUAUUAGAUACAGAACCAAUCCCCUCGGGGUUUUUGGAUGAUUCAUAAUAAACGUACGGAGCUCAUGACUUGUGUCGGAGCUGUGUCGUUCAAGUUUCUGAUCUAUCAGCUUUCGACGGUAGGGUAUUGGCCUACCGUGGCGAUGACGGGUAACGGAGAAUUAGGGUUCGAUUCCGGAGAGGGAGCCCGAGAAACGGCUACCACA
rnacentral:rRNA from 1 species